GAAGCACCGGCUAACUCUGUGCCAGCAGCCGCGGUAAUACAGAGGGUGCAAGCGUUAUUCGGAAUUACUGGGCGUAAAGCGCGCGUAGGCGGAUUGUUAAGUCAGUUGUGAAAGCCCUGGGCUCAACCUGGGAACUGCAUCUGAUACUGGCAGUCUAGAAUUUAGUAGAGGGAAGGGGAAUUCCAGGUGUAGCUGUGAAAUGCGUAGAUAUCUGGAGGAACAUCAGUGGCGAAGGCGCCUUCCUGGACUAAAAUUGACGCUGAGGUGCGAAAGCGUGGGUAGCAAACGGGAUUAGAUACCCCGGUAGUCCACGCCGUAAACGAUGUCAACUAGCUGUUGGCCUUAUUAA
rnacentral:rRNA from 1 species